GUUAUCGUCUGCUACUUUGUUUGUCCGGUUAGGAGAGAAUUCGUCGAUGAUGCAGGACAGGGGAGAAAUAUACAAUUUGAGGACAAGUUUUGCAGCGUAAGGGUGUGGCAUCUGCGCCACGCAAAUGAUCUUUAUUAAAGCAUUGGCGUCAGGAGGUGGAGACGGUAUCAUAAAAUUGUCAGAUUUUUGUAUCUAUAAUCGCAAAUGUUGGCGAUUUUGUUUUGCUUUGACGGGGCCCGUCUCCUGGUUUGCGUGCGCGUCAUCGGCAGGAUGAGGUCGUAUUUUUGUGUCUGCUGGUUUGCCUGUCAGAUUCUCAGGAAUUCAUUGGAAAAAAAAAACGGAAUUGUGGAAAUUAUACAAUUUGGAGACGGAUUUUAAUUCUUUUUAAUUUGAUGUCAGCUCCGGGAUAAUGAUCCUUGUUAGUGCAGUGGCAUCAGGAGGUGGAGACGGCGUUGGCUCGUCUUCUCUUGUUGGUUGCUUUGGAUCACCAGUUGGCUGUGUUUAUUGAGGUAAGUGCUUUAUUUGAUUGUCU